AGCCUCAAUGAACGAGCGGAUGAACUUCGUCAGACCAGGGCGGUAGUAGAGCAGAAAGAGGAGCUGAUCUCUGUCACUAAACGCCUAAAUGAAACCCAAGAUGAACUCAACAAGGCCCGAUCAUCUCUACAGCAGAAGGACAAAGAACUGACCUCAGUCACUAAACG